GAUGAACGCUGGCGGCGUGCCUAAUACAUGCAAGUCGAGCGAACAGACGAGGAGCUUGCUCCUCUAACGUUAGCGGCGGACGGGUGAGUAACACGUGGAUAACCUACCUAUAAGACUGGGAUAACUUCGGGAAACCGGAGCUAAUACCGGAUAAUAUAUUGAACCGCAUGGUUCAAUAGUGAAAGACGGUUUUGCUGUCACUUAUAGAUGGAUCCGCGCCGCAUUAGCUAGUUGGUAAGGUAACAGCUUACCAAGGCAACGAUGCGUAGCCGACCUGAGAGGGUGAUCGGCCACACUGGAACUGAGACACGGUCCAGACUCCUACGGGAGGCAGCAGUAGGGAAUCUUCCGCAAUGGGCGAAAGCCUGACGGAGCAACGCCGCGUGAGUGAUGAAGGUCUUCGGAUCGUAAAACUCUGUUAUUAGGGAAGAACAAAUGUGUAAGUAACUAUGCACGUCUUGACGGUACCUAAUCAGAAAGCCACGGCUAACUACG
rnacentral:rRNA from 1 species